CUACGGGAGGCAGCAGUGGGGAAUAUUGGACAAUGGGCGAAAGCCUGAUCCAGCAAUACCGCGUGUGUGAAGAAGGCCUGAGGGUUGUAAAGCACUUUCAAUAGGAAGGAAUACCUAUCGGCGAAUACCCGGUAGACUGACAUUACCUAUACAAGAAGCACCGGCUAACUCCGUGCCAGCAGCCGCGGUAAUACGGAGGGUGCAAGCGUUAAUCGGAAUUACUGGGCGUAAAGCGUGCGUAGGCGGUUUUUUAAGUCAGAUGUGAAAGCCCUGGGCUUAACCUGGGAACUGCAUUUGAUACUGGGAAACUAGAGUUGAGUAGAGGGGAGUGGAAUUUCAGGUGUAGCGGUGAAAUGCGUAGAGAUCUGAAGGAACACCAGUGGCGAAGGCGACUCCCUGGACUCAAACUGACGCUGAGGUACGAAAGCGUGGGUAGCAAACAGGAUUAGAUACCCGAGUAGUC
rnacentral:rRNA from 1 species